rnacentral:rRNA from 1 species
GAGGCAGCAGUAGGGAAUCUUCCGCAAUGGACGAAAGUCUGACGGAGCAACGCCGCGUGAGUGAUGAAGGCUUUCGGGUCGUAAAACUCUGUUGUUAGGAAAGAACAAGUGCUAGUUGAAUAAGCUGGCACCUUGACGGCACCUAACCAAAAAGCCACGGCUAACUACGUGCCAGCAGCCGCGGUAAUACGUAGGUGGCAAGCGUUAUCCGGAAUUAUUGGGCGUAAAGCGCGCGCAGGUGGUUUCUUAAGUCUGAUGUGAAACCCCACGGCUCAACCGUGGAGGCUCAUUGAAAACUGGGAGACUUGAGUGCAAAAGAGGAAAGUGGAAUUCCAUGUAUAGCGGUGAAAUGCAUAGAUAUAUGGAGGAACACCAGUGGCGAAGGCGACUUUCUGGUCUGUAACUGACACUGAGGCGCAAAAGCGUGGGGAGCAAACGGGAUUAGAUACCCUGGUAGCCCACGCCGUAAACGAUGAGUGCUAAGUGUUAGAGGGUUUCCGCCCUUUAGUGCUGAAGUUAACGCAUUAAGCACUCCGCCUGGGGAGUACGGCCGCAAGGCUGAAACUCAAAGGAAUUGACGGGGGCCC